AGCAUGUGUAUUCUAAAGAAGCAACAGACAUAGAAGGGACCAGCAAGUUCAGGCCCAGUGAGCUUUGGGAAAAGAAAGGAGAGUCUGUGGUGUCCACACUUGGAGUUUGGAAGCUCAUGUUAUCUCUCCUGUGCCCUAUCAGCAUCAUGGUGGUGGCAGCUCCGACUCUGCCUGCUCCUGCAUGACAUUUGCCAAAUCAUGCUGAAGAAGGAUAGGAAAUACCAGAAGGUCACAGGUCAGACAUCCCAGGGACAACACCAGAG
rnacentral:lncRNA from 1 species